rnacentral:rRNA from 1 species
AGUGAACGCUGGCGGUAGGCCUAACACAUGUAAGUCGAACGGCAGCACAGGAGAGCUUGCUCUCUGGGUGGCGAGUGGCGGACGGGUGAGGAAUACAUCGGAAUCUGCCCAGUCGUGGGGGAUAACGUAGGGAAACUUACGCUAAUACCGCAUACGACCUUCGGGUGAAAGAGGGGGAUCGCAAGACCUCUCGCGAUUGGAUGAGCCGAUGUCGGAUUAGCUAGUUGGCGGGGUAAUGGCCCACCAAGGCGACGAUCCGUAGCUGGUCUGAGAGGAUGAUCAGCCACACUGGAACUGAGACACGGUCCAGACUCCUACGGGAGGCAGCAGUGGGGAAUAUUGGACAAUGGGCGCAAGCCUGAUCCAGCCAUACCGCGUGGGUGAAGAAGGCCUUCGGGUUGUAAAGCCCUUUUGUUGGGAAAGAAAUCUUUCAGGCUAAUACCCUGGGAGGAUGACGGUACCCAAAGAAUAAGCACCGGCUAACUUCGUG